GGUUAAGCGACUAAGCGUACACGGUGGAUGCCCUGGCAGUCAGAGGCGAUGAAGGGCGUGCUAAUCUGCGAUAAGCGCCGGUAAGGUGAUAUGAACCGUUAUAACCGGCGAUACCCGAAUGGGGAAACCCAGUGUGAUUCGUCACACUAUCAUUAACUGAAUCCAUAGGUUAAUGAGGCGAACCGGGGGAACUGAAACAUCUAAGUACCCCGAGGAAAAGAAAUCAACCGAGAUUCCCCCAGUAGCGGCGAGCGAACGGGGAGGAGCCCAGAGCCUGAAUCAGCAUGUGUGUUAGUGGAAGCGUCUGGAAAGGUGCGCGAUACAGGGUGACAGCCCCGUACACAAAAGCGCAUGUGCUGUGAGCUCGAUGAGUAGGGCGGGACACGUGGUAUCCUGUCUGAAUAUGGGGGGACCAUCCUCCAAGGCUAAAUACUCCUGACUGACCGAUAGUGAACCAGUACCGUGAGGGAAAGGCGAAAAGAACCCCGGCGAGGGGAGUGAAAAAGAACCUGAAACCGUGUACGUACAAGCAGUGGGAGCACAGGUUUACCUGUGUGACUGCGUACCUUUUGUAUAAUGGGUCAGCGACUUAUAUUCUGUAGCAAGGUUAACCGUAUAGGGGAGCCGUAGGGAAACCGAGUCUUAACCGGGCGUUAAGUUGCAGGGUAUAGACCCGAAACCCGGUGAUCUAGCCAUGGGCAGGUUGAAGGUUGGGUAACACUAACUGGAGGACCGAACCGACUAAUGUUGAAAAAUUAGCGGAUGACCUGUGGCUGGGGGUGAAAGGCCAAUCAAACCGGGAGAUAGCUGGUUCUCCCCGAAAGCUAUUUAGGUAGCGCCUCGUGAAUUCAUCUCCGGGGGUAGAGCACUGUUUCGGCUAGGGGGCCAUCCCGGCUUACCAACCCGAUGCAAACUGCGAAUACCGGAGAACGUUAUCACGGGAGACACACGGCGGGUGCUAACGUCCGUCGUGAAGAGGGAAACAACCCAGACCGCCAGCUAAGGUCCCAAAGUCAUGGUUAAGUGGGAAACGAUGUGGGAAGGCCCAGACAGCCAGGAUGUUGGCUUAGAAGCAGCCAUCAUUUAAAGAAAGCGUAAUAGCUCACUGGUCGAGUCGGCCUGCGCGGAAGAUGUAACGGGGCUAAACCAUGCACCGAAGCUGCGGCAGCGAACGUAUCACCCAAGACAACUUUACGGAGUUGACGAUUGACGGAGCGAAGCGACGUCAAAGCGUUCAUUAAAGUCGAGUUGGCUUAGGGAUACGUUCGUUGGGUAGGGGAGCGUUCUGUAAGCCUGUGAAGGUGUGUCGUGAGGCAUGCUGGAGGUAUCAGAAGUGCGAAUGCUGACAUAAGUAACGAUAAAGCGGGUGAAAAGCCCGCUCGCCGGAAGACCAAGGGUUCCUGUCCAACGUUAAUCGGGGCAGGGUGAGUCGACCCCUAAGGCGAGGCCGAAAGGCGUAGUCGAUGGGAAACGGGUUAAUAUUCCCGUACUUGGUGUUACUGCGAAGGGGGGACGGAGAAGGCUAUGUUGGCCGGGCGACGGUUGUCCCGGUUUAAGCGUGUAGGUGUGUGUUCCAGGUAAAUCCGGUUCACUUUAACACUGAGGCGUGACGACGAGGCACUACGGUGCUGAAGCAACAAAUGCCCUGCUUCCAGGAAAAGCCUCUAAGCAUCAGGUAACACGAAAUCGUACCCCAAACCGACACAGGUGGUCAGGUAGAGAAUACCAAGGCGCUUGAGAGAACUCGGGUGAAGGAACUAGGCAAAAUGGUGCCGUAACUUCGGGAGAAGGCACGCUGACACGUAGGUGAAGUGAUUUACUCAUGGAGCUGAAGUCAGUCGAAGAUACCAGCUGGCUGCAACUGUUUAUUAAAAACACAGCACUGUGCAAACACGAAAGUGGACGUAUACGGUGUGACGCCUGCCCGGUGCCGGAAGGUUAAUUGAUGGGGUCAGCGUAAGCGAAGCUCCUGAUCGAAGCCCCGGUAAACGGCGGCCGUAACUAUAACGGUCCUAAGGUAGCGAAAUUCCUUGUCGGGUAAGUUCCGACCUGCACGAAUGGCGUAAUGAUGGCCAGGCUGUCUCCACCCGAGACUCAGUGAAAUUGAACUCGCUGUGAAGAUGCAGUGUACCCGCGGCAAGACGGAAAGACCCCGUGAACCUUUACUAUAGCUUGACACUGAACAUUGAGCCUUGAUGUGUAGGAUAGGUGGGAGGCUUUGAAGUGUGGACGCCAGUCUGCAUGGAGCCGACCUUGAAAUACCACCCUUUAAUGUUUGAUGUUCUAACGUGGACCCGUAAUCCGGGUUGCGGACAGUGUCUGGUGGGUAGUUUGACUGGGGCGGUCUCCUCCUAAAGAGUAACGGAGGAGCACGAAGGUUGGCUAAUCCUGGUCGGACAUCAGGAGGUUAGUGCAAUGGCAUAAGCCAGCUUGACUGCGAGCGUGACGGCGCGAGCAGGUGCGAAAGCAGGUCAUAGUGAUCCGGUGGUUCUGAAUGGAAGGGCCAUCGCUCAACGGAUAAAAGGUACUCCGGGGAUAACAGGCUGAUACCGCCCAAGAGUUCAUAUCGACGGCGGUGUUUGGCACCUCGAUGUCGGCUCAUCACAUCCUGGGGCUGAAGUAGGUCCCAAGGGUAUGGCUGUUCGCCAUUUAAAGUGGUACGCGAGCUGGGUUUAGAACGUCGUGAGACAGUUCGGUCCCUAUCUGCCGUGGGCGCUGGAGAACUGAGGGGGGCUGCUCCUAGUACGAGAGGACCGGAGUGGACGCAUCACUGGUGUUCGGGUUGUCAUGCCAAUGGCACUGCCCGGUAGCUAAAUGCGGAAGAGAUAAGUGCUGAAAGCAUCUAAGCACGAAACUUGCCCCGAGAUGAGUUCUCCCUGAGACUUAGAGUCUCCUGAAGGAACGUUGAAGACGACGACGUUGAUAGGCCGGGUGUGUAAGCGCAGCGAUGCGUUGAGCUAACCGGUACUAAUGAACCGUGAGGCUUAACCUU
rnacentral:rRNA from 1 species